GCGCUCGCAACCACACUCCACGGAUGAUCAAACCCACAAGUUUGCUCUCCAUGUGGGUCACCACAUAAGAGAAUAGA
rnacentral:rRNA from 1 species